rnacentral:rRNA from 1 species
UGGCUCAGGACGAACGCUGGCGGCGUGCUUAACACAUGCAAGUCGAACGGUGAUGUCAGAGCUUGCUCUGGCGGAUCAGUGGCGAACGGGUGAGUAACACGUGAGUAACCUGCCCCCGACUCUGGGAUAACUGCUAGAAAUGGUAGCUAAUACCGGAUAUGACGACUGGCCGCAUGGUCUGGUCGUGGAAAGAAUUUCGGUUGGGGAUGGACUCGCGGCCUAUCAGGUUGUUGGUGAGGUAAUGGCUCACCAAGCCUACGACGGGUAGCCGGCCUGAGAGGGUGACCGGCCACACUGGGACUGAGACACGGCCCAGACUCCUACGGGAGGCAGCAGUGGGGAAUAUUGCACAAUGGGCGCAAGCCUGAUGCAGCAACGCCGCGUGAGGGAUGACGGCCUUCGGGUUGUAAACCUCUUUUAGUAGGGAAGAAGCGAAAGUG